rnacentral:rRNA from 1 species
GGUUAAGCGACUAAGCGUACACGGUGGAUGCCCUGGCAGUCAGAGGCGAUGAAGGACGUGCUAAUCUGCGAUAAGCGUCGGUAAGGUGAUAUGAACCGUUAUAACCGGCGAUUUCCGAAUGGGGAAACCCAGUGUGAUUCGUCACACUAUCAUUAACUGAAUCCAUAGGUUAAUGAGGCGAACCGGGGGAACUGAAACAUCUAAGUACCCCGAGGAAAAGAAAUCAACCGAGAUUCCCCCAGUAGCGGCGAGCGAACGGGGAGCAGCCCAGAGCCUGAAUCAGUGUGUGU